AGAGUUUAAAAAUUAGAAAGUAGAGAAGGAAUUGGGAUUUCUAUAUUUAAAAAAUAAAAGUAGAAAUUACAAUAAAAAUAUAUUUUUCCACCUCAAAGUGUAGUGCAUAAUUAAAUACAUAUUUGCUUCAUCAUUACCACAGGAAUGAAAGUUAAAUUUUUUCCCUAUGUUCUCAGGUGUUUUUUUUGUAGCUUACUUUUUCUUUAUUACGUCUAUUUUAGUGUGAAGAGGAAAUCUGGCUUUGUAUAAGUUUAUUUCCCACUCAUAUCACAAUAAGUUUGAUUGGUUCUCUCAGGCAGUUUAUCAGGGUGAUGAGUUCCUUCUGUUAUAUGAUUUUGCUUCAAUUUCAAAGACUGGAAGAGAGAACACAGGCCUGUCCUGAGAUAUCUACCAACUGCUAUCUUGUCUUCCUGGCCAUUAGAAUGUGUGAUGAUAUUCAGAACCUACUUAACAUUUCUUUGUUCUAAAUAUACUAGACUUCUUGAAUCUUUGCAUUUCAUCUGGCAUAAAAAGUUUAGAAGGUAAGUCUUCAGAAAGAAGUAGAUCCUAUGUAUCAGAUAGAGAAGUGGAGAAAAAGACAUUCAAAGGUAGUGGAACCAGAGGUUAUUCUCAGGUUACUAAAUGCAAAAGAACAGAAAAGCAAAACAAGGUGGUCAAAAUUGC
rnacentral:lncRNA from 1 species